UAUUGAUCACCAUGCCUAAGGCGGAUACUUUAGAAGAACUUAUAUCUCAGGCAAUUAUUUGUGACAACCGCCUCUUUGAAUUACGACAAGAAAGACGAUCAAGCUGGAGAAAUGAUGGAGCAUUUGCUACAUUUUCAAAAGGUCCAGAGAAUCACUCCACAGAUCUUGAAUCCAUGCAAAUUGAUGCGGUACGUUUCAAACCCCUCACAGCUGAGGAAAGGAAGCGACGGUUUGAACAAAACUUGUGUUUAU
rnacentral:lncRNA from 1 species